rnacentral:sRNA from 1 species
ACAAUCACCAUGCCGAGGUGCAGCAUGACGACGUGCGUGGAGAGGAUCGUCGACUCCU